rnacentral:rRNA from 1 species
UGAGCAAUCUGCCCUUCUCAUCGGAAUAAGCGUUGGAAACGACGUCUAAUGCCGAAUACGACCUCCUUUCGCAUGAUCGGAGGUGGAAAGCUCCGGCGGAGAAGGAUGUGCUCGCGGCCUAUCAGCUUGUUGGUGGGGUAAUGGCCUACCAAGGCGUCGACGGGUAGCCGGCCUGAGAGGGUGUCCGGCCACACUGGGACUGAGAUACGGCCCAGACCUCCGUACGGGAGANAGCG